AUAUGUCCACAGAAAAAAGACCAUGUGAGGAGAUAGCAAGAAUACCCUAUCUGCAAGCCAUGGAGAGGUCUCAGCAGAAACCAAAACUGCCAACAACUUAAUCUUGGACUUCUAUCCUCUAUAAAUCCUACUCAACGUGAAGAUGAUGAGAAUGAAGACCUUUAUGAUGAUCUGCUUCCACUUAAAGAAUAGUAUUUGGCUGACUCCUGGACUAUGCAAGCACAAGAAGAGAUUUCAGAAGGUUUGGAAGAGAGUCUCUUCUGAGAGGCUGAGGGCUAAGAAGACUGCCCUGUGCAGGAAAGAUGUUGGAGUGCAAGCCCAUCUGGAAUGGAGAGACCUCGAUGAAACACAUAGGCAAUUAAUUAGAUCCCAGAAAGGCCACACUGUGCAAGCCCAUCAUGAUCUGAAGGCAGCGGUGGUUGCUGGUGGAGGAUGUGAGCUUUGGAACUGGAGCUCUUUGAUUCAAAGCUCUGCCGCUUACUCACUGGAUAAGACCAUGAUCAAGUUAUUUCAUCUGAAAAAUUGAGUUGACUGCAGGUAACUGAAACUGCGGAAAGUGAAACUGCAGAUAAGAGGGACCACUGUAAAUAAGUGACAUGAAUGAUACUGCAAAGGACCAUAGCCUAACCAGCCAAGCAAACUGGAAGUACCUUUAGACUCACGCUUUGCCAAGCUCAGUUCCAGAAUCACAUGAUGAAAAGAAUGAUGGAAAGAAAAUGUUUGUGAUAUUAAAAUUAAGGAAAUUACUCCAACUCAGAGCUUUGAAUCUUGACAGAGUGUUGCAAAGACAGAAGAAAUGGUAAAGUUUCAUUUCCUUAUUUUUGGCAACUGGAAGACAAAUUGCCUACUUGUUCCAAACCUGGUUCACUAGCUAUCCCUCAAUUCCCAUAAGCUUCCCUAUUAUUCUUCCAUAAAGUUCCUUUUUUGCUGUCAUUACUGAAGCAAUACAGAAUCACAAAA
rnacentral:lncRNA from 1 species